rnacentral:pre_miRNA from 1 species
CUUGUACUCCCUCCGUUCCAAAUUACUCGUCGUAGAAAUGGAUGUAUCUAGAACUAAAAUACAUCUAGAUACAUCCAUACCUGCGACAAGUAAUUCGGAACGGAGUGAGUAAAAA